rnacentral:rRNA from 1 species
AUUGAACGCUGGCGGCAGGCCUAACACAUGCAAGUCGAGCGAGCGGCGGACGGGUGAGUAAUGUCUGGGAAACUGCCCGAGGGAGGGGGAGAACUACUGGAAACGGUAGCUAAUAUCGCAUACCAUCAAAGGUGCCCAGAUGGGAGUAGCGAGUAGUGGGGGUGAUGGCUCACCUAGGCGACGAUCCCUAGCUGGUCUGAGAGGAGGACCAGCCACACUGGAACUGAUACACGGUCCAGACUCCUACGGGAGGCAGCAGUGGGGAAUAUUGCACGAUGGGCGCAAGCCUGUUGCAGCCAUGCCGCGUGUGUGAAGAAGGCCUUCGGGUUGUAAAGCACUUUCAGCGGGGAGGCGUUACCCGCAGAAGAAGCACCGGCUAACUCCGUGCCAGCAGCCGCGGUAAUAC